rnacentral:rRNA from 1 species
UUAAAUUGAAGAGUUUGAUCAUGGCUCAGAUUGAACGCUGGCGGCAGGCCUAACACAUGCAAGUCGAACGGUAACAGGAAACAGCUUGCUGUUUCGCUGACGAGUGGCGGACGGGUGAGUAAUGUCUGGGAAACUGCCUGAUGGAGGGGGAUAACUACUGGAAACGGUAGCUAAUACCGCAUAACGUCGCAAGACCAAAGAGGGGGACCUUCGGGCCUCUUGCCAUCGGAUGUGCCCAGAUGGGAUUAGCUAGUAGGUGGGGUAACGGCUCACCUAGGCGACGAUCCCUAGCUGGUCUGAGAGGAUGACCAGCCACACUGGAACUGAGACACGGUCCAGACUCCUACGGGAGGCAGC